rnacentral:piRNA from 1 species
GGUGCUGUUGGGAGCAGUGAAAAGGCCACA